GUCCUUUCUGUCAGUUGCCUUUUAAUUUUGUUGACUGUUUCCUUUCCCGUGCAAAAGUUUUUUGUCU